rnacentral:rRNA from 1 species
AUACGACCGUACCGCAAACCGACACUGGUGCGCGAGAUGAGUAUUCUAAGGCGCUUGAGAGAACUCAGGAGAAGGAACUCGGCAAAUUGACACCGUAACUUCGGAAGAAGGUGUGCCCUAUUAGUGUGUAGUGAACAACGAAGCAUGAAUGGGUUGCAAAAAAUCGGUGGCUGCGACUGUUUAUUAAAAACACAGCACUCUGCAAACACGAAAGUGGACGUAUAGGGUGUGACGCCUGCCCGGUGCUGGAAGAUUAAAUGAUGGGGUGCAAGCUCUUGAUUGAAGUCCCAGUAAACGGCGGCCGUAACUAUAACGGUCCUAAGGUAGCGAAAUUCCUUGUCGGGUAAGUUCCGACCUGCACGAAUGGCGUAACGAUGGCCACACUGUCUCCUCCUGAGACUCAGCGAAGUUGAAAUGUUUGUGAUGAUGCAAUCUCCCCGCGGAAAGACGGAAAGACCCCAUGAACCUUUACUGUAGCUUUGUAUUGGACUUUGAACAGAUCUGUGUAGGAUAGGUGGGAGGCUUUGAAGCAGGGUCGCUAGAUCUUGUGGAGCCAACGUUGAAAUACCACCCUGGUGUGUUUGAGGUUCUAACCUAGGUCCAUUAUCUGGAUCGGGGACAGUGCAUGGUAGGCAGUUUGACUGGGGCGGUCUCCUCCCAAAGCGUAACGGAGGAGUUCGAAGGUACGCUAGUUACGGUCGGACAUCGUGACGAUAGUGCAAUGGCAUAAGCGUGCUUAACUGCGAGACUGACAAGUCGAGCAGAUUCGAAAGCAGGACAUAGUGAUCCGGUGGUUCUGUAUGGAAGGGCCAUCGCUCAACGGAUAAAAGGUACUCUGGGGAUAACAGGCUGAUACCGCCCAAGAGUUCAUAUCGACGGCGGUGUUUGGCACCUCGAUGUCGGCUCAUCUCAUCCUGGGGCUGUAGCCGGUCCCAAGGGUAUGGCUGUUCGCCAUUUAAAGAGGUACGUGAGCUGGGUUUAAAACGUCGUGAGACAGUUUGGUCCCUAUCUUCCGUGGGCGCUGCAGAUUUGAGGAAGCCUGCUCCUAGUACGAGAGGACCGGAGUGGACACACCUCUGGUGUAUCGGUUGUCACGCCAGUGGCAUUGCCGAGUAGCUAAGUGUGGAAGAGAUAACCGCUGAAAGCAUCUAAGCGGGAAACUCGUUUCAAGAUGAGAUCUGCCGGGGCCUUGAGCCCCCUAAAGAGUCGUUCAAGACCAGGACGUUGAUAGGUCAGGUGUGGAAGC